rnacentral:rRNA from 1 species
AUUGAACGCUGGCGGAAUGCUUUACACAUGCAAGUCGAACGGUAGAGGGGGCAACCCCUCGAGAGUGGCGAACGGGUGAGUAAUAUAUCGGAACGUGCCCAGUCGUGGGGGAUAACGUAGCGAAAGUUACGCUAAUACCGCAUACGAUCGAAGGAUGAAAGCGGGGGAGCGCAAGACCUCGCGCGAUUGGAGCGGCCGAUAUCAGAUUAGGUAGUUGGUGGGGUAAAGGCUCACCAAGCCAACGAUCUGUAGCUGGUCUGAGAGGACGACCAGCCACACUGGAACUGAGACACGGUCCAGACUCCUACGGGAGGCAGCAGUGGGGAAUUUUGGACAAUGGACGCAAGUCUGAUCCAGCCAUUCCGCGUGCAGGAUGAAGGCCCUCGGGUUGUAAACUGCUUUUGUACGGAACGAAAAGGUCUCUCUUAAUACGGGGGGCUCAUGACGAUACCGUAAGAAUAAGCACCGGCUAACUACGUGCCAGCCGCCGCCGUAA